UGGGGAAUAUUGCACAAUGGGCGAAAGCCUGAUGCAGCAACGCCGCGUGAGUGAUGAAGGUCUUCGGAUUGUAAAGCUCUGUCUUUUGGGACGAUAAUGACGGUACCAAAGGAGGAAGCCACGGCUAACUACGUGCCAGCAGCCGCGGUAAUACGUAGGUGGCGAGCGUUGUCCGGAUUUACUGGGCGUAAAGGGUGCGUAGGCGGAUGUUUAAGUGAGAUGUGAAAUACCCGGGCUUAACUUGGGUGCUGCAUUUCAAACUGGAUAUCUAGAGUGCAGGAGAGGAGAAUGGAAUUCCUAGUGUAGCGGUGAAAUGCGUAGAGAUUAGGAAGAACACCAGUGGCGAAGGCGAUUCUCUGGACUGUAACUGACGCUGAGGCACGAAAAGCGUGGGUAGCAAACAGGAUUAGAUACCCUGGUAGUCCACGCCGUAAACGAUGAGUACUAGGUGUAGGAGGUAUCGACCCCUUCUGCGCCGCAGUAAACACAUUAAAG
rnacentral:rRNA from 1 species